AGAGUUUGAUUCUGGCUCAGGAUGAACGCUGGCGGCGUGCUUAACACAUGCAAGUCGAACGGAGUUUAGAGAGCUUGCUCUUAAACUUAGUGGCGGACGGGUGAGUAACGCGUGGGUAACCUGCCUUUCACUGGGGGAUAACAGUUAGAAAUGACUGCUAAUACCGCAUAAGCGCACGGGAUCGCAUGAUCUAGUGUGAAAAGCUCCGGUGGUGAAAGAUGGACCCGCGUCUGAUUAGCUAGUUGGUGAGGUAACGGCCCACCAAGGCGACGAUCAGUAGCCGGCCUGAGAGGGUGAACGGCCACAUUGGGACCGAGACACGGCCCAGACUCCUACGGGAGGCAGCAGUGGGGAAUCUUCCGCAAUGGGCGCAAGCCUGACGGAGCAACGCCGCGUGAGUGAGGAAGUUCUUCGGAACGUAAAGCUCUGUUGUUCCUGACGAACCUCCCUUCUAUCAACAACGGAGGGGACUGACGGUAGGGAACGAGGAAGCCACGGCUAACUACGUGCCAGCAGCGGC
rnacentral:rRNA from 1 species